rnacentral:rRNA from 1 species
AACGAACGCUGGCGGCAUGCCUAACACAUGCCAGUCGAACGAGACCUUCGGGUCUAGUGGCGCACGGGUGCGUAACGCGUGGGAACCUGCCCUUAGGUUCGGAAUAACUCCCCGAAAGGGGUGCUAAUACCGGAUAAUGUCUUCGGACCAAAGAUUUAUCGCCUUUGGAUGGGCCCGCGUUGGAUUAGCUAGUUGGUAGGGUAAAAGCCUACCAAGGCGACGAUCCAUAGCUGGUCUGAGAGGAUGAUCAGCCACACUGGGACUGCGACACGGCCCAGACUCCUACGGGAGGCAGCAGUGGGGAAUAUUGGACAAUGGGCGAAAGCCUGAUACAGCAAUGCCGCGCGAGUGAUGAAGGCCUUAGGGUUGUAAAGCUCUUUUACCCGGGACGAUAAUGACAGUACCGGGAGAAUAAGCUCCGGCUAACUCCGUG